UGUGCUUCAGAUAUAGUCACAUUUUUCGUAUUAAUAAGUAGCUCGCAUUAUUUUAUUGAUUUACAGUAGGUCAUAUGUCAAAAUCAAAAGAAAUAACAAGUUAAUU